UCCCUCUUUUUCCAGCGUUAAUCGGAAUUACUGGGCGUAAAGCGCGCGUAGGUGGUUUGGUAAGUCGGAUGUGAAAUCCCCGUUCUCACCCUGGGAACUGCAUUCGAAACUGCCUGGCUAGAGUUUGAGAGAGGGAAGUGGAAUUCCACAUGUAGCGGUGAAAUGCGUAGAUAUGUGGAGGAACAUCAGUGGCGAAGGCGGCUUCCUGGCUGAAAAAGGCCACUGUGGCGCGAAAGCGUGGGUAGCAAACAGG
rnacentral:rRNA from 1 species